AACGAACGCUGGCGGCAUGCCUAACACAUGCAAGUCGAACGAUACCUUCCGGUUUAGUGGCGCACUUGUUCGUAACGCGUUGGAUCCUGCCUUUAUGUUCUGAAUUUCUCUCUGAAAUAGGUGCUAAUACCUGAUUCUGUUUUCGGACCAAAGCUUUCUCGCCUUUGUAUGGGCCCGCGUUGGAUUAGCUUGUUGGUAGGGGAAAAGCCUACCAAGGCGAUGAUCCAUAUCUGGUCUGAGAGGAGGAUCAGCCACAAUCGGACUGAGACACGGCCCAGACUCCUACGGGAGGGAGGAGUGGGUAAUAUAGGACAAGGGGCGAAAGCCUGAGCAAGCAAUGCCGCGGGAGAGAUGAAGGGCUUAGGGUUGUAAAGCUAGUUUACCCGGGAUGAUAAUGACAGUACCGGGAGAAUAAGCUCCGGCUAACUCCGUG
rnacentral:rRNA from 1 species